UCUGGAUGUCCUUUUGAAUCUCCAGGAUCACGGGGACCUUGGAUUCCCUUUGAGAACAGACAGCAUCAAAGCAACAAUCCUGGAACUAUUCACCGCUGGGAGUGAUACAUCAUCAACAUUAAUGGAAUGGACAAUGUCGGAAA